rnacentral:rRNA from 1 species
GAUGAACGCUGGCGGCGUGCCUAAUACAUGCAAGUCGAGCGAACAGACGAGGAGCUUGCUCCUCUGACGUUAGCGGCGGACGGGUGAGUAACACGUGGAUAACCUACCUAUAAGACUGGGAUAACUUCGGGAAACCGGAGCUAAUACCGGAUAAUAUAUUGAACCGCAUGGUUCAAUAGUGAAAGACGGUUUUGCUGUCACUUAUAGAUGGAUCCGCGCCGCAUUAGCUAGUUGGUAAGGUAACGGCUUACCAAGGCAACGAUGCGUAGCCGACCUGAGAGGGUGAUCGGCCACACUGGACCUGAGACACGGUCCAGACGCCUACGGGAGGCAGCAGUAGGGAAUCUUCCGGAAUGGGCGAAAGCCUGACGGAGCAACGCCGCGUGAGUGAUGAAGGUCUUCGGAUCGUAAAACUCUGUUAUUAGGGAAGAACAAAUGUGUAAGUAACUAUGCACGUCUUGACGGUACCUAAUCAGAAAGCCACGGCUAACUACGU